CUGCUAGGAAAUUGAGGCUUCAUUGUGCCUCUAAAGCGACUACGGGUGCCUUCUAGAUGCCUUAAAGGACUAAAACUUCACAUUGCAUAAAUAAACAAGAGCAGAAUGAGAGAAGGAGGAAAGAACAAGGGAC
rnacentral:lncRNA from 1 species